AUAGGCUACGUCUUCGACUGGUGCCUGAUUUGUAGUAAAAUUCGUUAUAUUAGAAGCCGGAGGUCUAAUAAUACCAGAUUAUUUGUUAGAACUGGCCUUCUUACUAUAUGUAACCACCACAAGUUUAUUAAGAAGAAUAGUUGUUGCCUAGCAACAAUUAGUCGUAUAGUUUUGUGUAAAAAAUAAAAAGUCAUUAUGUACAUCCGAAGAUUAUGUUUCAUUAUUUACCAUAAUUACCACAUUAUUUCAAUCUCAAAUUAGACUAUAAUGUUUUGAAUUGGAAAUCUUUUUAUGUGAUAAAUAUAUUUGUAGCUAAUACGACCUCGAAUUAUUAAUCGAUUAGGGAAUUAUUAUCGAUAUAGAGUUUGAGAUUUGCGUAAUAAAUACCAUUGAGUCACAAUUGAAUCUAAUGGAAAAUAAAACUGAAAAUUGUUCACUUACUUUUUCCAACUUUCAAGGAAUCCAGCGUCAGACCAACGGUACUUGGGCCUCCCUACGGGGCGGCGUCCCUCCGGUACACCCGCGUACACCCGUUUCACAGCCCGAUCCUGCUCCAUACGCACUACAUGACUAAGCCAUUCGAGCCUCCGUGCCUUCAUCUCCCCCAGAAUAUUUGGCUCACCAAAAAGCCUCUCCACAUCCUUGUUUUUCCGGACGUGUCAACCUGACGUGAAAACCUAAAGCUACUGAUUAAAUCGUUACACUAAACAUAACUGUUGCUUUUAUUAAAUUGCUAAUGAAGAAUUCUAAAUAUACCAGUAACAAAUU